rnacentral:rRNA from 1 species
AUACGGAGGAUCCGAGCGUUAUCCGGAUUUAUUGGGUUUAAAGGGAGCGCAGGCGGAGAUGCAAGCGUGACGUCAAAUUUCGGGGCUCAACCCCGUCUCGCGUCGCGAACUGCGUCCCUUGGUUGCGGGAAGGGGAGGCGGAACUCGUGGUGUAGCGGUGAAAUGCAUAGAUAUCACGAAGAACUCCGAUCGCGAAGGCAGCCUUCCGGCCCGUCAACGACGCUCAUGCUCGAAGGUGCGGGUAUCAAACAGGAUUAGAUACCCUGGUAGUCCGCACAGUAAACGAUGGACACCCGCGGUUUGGCCUGUAUGGCUGAGCCGCCAAGCGAAAGCGUUAAGUGUCCCACCUGGGGAGUACGCCGGCAACGGUGAAACUCAAAUGAAUUGACGGGG